AGCAGCCGCGGUAAUUCCAGCUCCAAUAGCGUAUAUUAAAGUUGUUGCAGUUAAAAAGCUCGUAGUUGAAUUUCGGGAUUGGCGCAUCGGUCGUGCCUCACGGGGUAUGAACUGGUGCAGUCAAUUUCUCACCUUCUGGAGAACCGCGAUGUCCUUAAUUGGGUGCCGCGGGGAACCAGGACCUUUACUUUAGAAAAAUUAGAGUGUUUAAAGCAGGCAUUUUUGCUUGAAUACAUUAGCAUGGAAUAAUAAAAUAGGACGGCAUGGUUCUAUUUUGUUGGUUUCUAGGACCACCGUAAUGAUUAAUAGGGAUAGUUGGGGGCACUAGUAUUCAAUUGUCAGAGGUGAAAUUCUUGGAUUUAUUGAAGACUAACUACUGCGAAAGCAUUUGCCAAGGAUGUUUUCAUUAAUCAAGAACGAAAGUUAGGGGAUCGAAGACGAUCAGAUACCGUCGUAGUCUUAACCAUAAACUAUGCCGACUAGGAAUCAGACGAUGUUAAUUUUUAAUGUACUCGUUGCU
rnacentral:rRNA from 1 species